rnacentral:rRNA from 1 species
UACAGAGGUCUCAACCGUUGUUCGGAUUCAUUGGGCGUAAAGGGUGCGUAGGCGGCGGGGUAAGUCAGGUGUGAAAUCUCGGGGCUCAACCCCGAAACUGCACUUGAUACUGCCUCGCUUGAGUACUGGAGAGGAGACUGGAAUUUACGGUGUAGCAGUGAAAUGCGUAGAUAUCGUAAGGAAGACCGGUGGCGAAGGCGGCAUCCUGGACCGACACUGACGCUGAGGCGCGAAAGCUAGGGUAGCAAACGGG